rnacentral:rRNA from 2 species
UACGAAGGGUGCAAGCGUUAAUCGGAAUUACUGGGCGUAAAGCGCGCGUAGGUGGUUCGUUAAGUUAGGAGUGAAAGCCCCGGGCUCAACCUGGGAAUUGCUUCUAAAACUGGCGAGCUAGAGUAUGGUAGAGGGUGGUGGAAUUUCCUGUGUAGCGGUGAAAUGCGUAGAUAUAGGAAGGAACAUCAGUGGCGAAGGCGACCACCUGGACUGAUACUGACACUGAGGUGCGAAAGCGUGGGGAGCAAACAGG